rnacentral:rRNA from 1 species
UACGUAGGGUCCAAGCGUUAUCCGGAAUUACUGGGCGUAAAGCGUGCGCAGGCGGUUUUGCAAGCCGGAUGUGAAAUCCCCGGGCUCAACCUGGGAAUGGCAUUCGGGACUGCAAGGCUGGAGUGCGGCAGAGGAGACUGGAAUUCCUGGUGUAGCAGUGAAAUGCGUAGAUAUCAGGAGGAAUACCGAUGGCGAAGGCAGGUCUCUGGGCUGACACUGACGCUCAUGCACGAAAGCGUGGGGAGCAAACAGG